rnacentral:lncRNA from 1 species
GUUUUUAUUAGUAAUAAUGAAGCUAAAAUGCAUUGUUUUCAGACAAUGGAGUGAGAAGAGAUGUGAUGAACCGUAUGAUGCAUUAACUAAAUAGGUAUAUCCUAGAAUUAAUCGCAAUUUCAAAUUUUUAUACAAACGUAUAUAUUACAGACAGGGUUCGUGACAAAUAGAUUAAGGAAGAACAAAGCCUGAAGCAUCUCAUCUGUUUGAAACAGGAGCUUGAUGAUGAUAUUUCUGGGUUAUUACCUGACGCCGGCUAGACCAGAAGAGCCUCGCUCACGCUGCUAGGACAGAUUAGCCUAUAAUUCAUUCAGAAAAAGCAAAUCAGUUAUAAUUUCGUAAUACUGAGAGCAUCUGUUCGCGGUGUGUCUCGGUAGUUUAGCACCGCCUGUUGGUGUGGACACAGCAUCCAGCUCAACUGGAAAUAAGAAAAAACAGUCAAACCUGUAUAGCUACACUCGUUAUAUGAAUAUGUUUAGGUGUUUAUUCAUUAUUCUGCAUUACUAUGUGAGUUAUAUCAAUAUUUUAUAUAUGUAUGCCGCUGAAUAAUACUGUUUUCCACACAAAAUGUGCAUUUACAACGUUCACCAACAGAUGGCAGUGCAAAUCAACGCUUAUUUUAAGCAGAUAACGAUUAUUUAAUUAUUUCUGCAGCGUUUGAUACACGUAAAACCAUGCCUUAAGAUUUAAAAUGAGCAUUUUAAGACGUGGUUCGUGCAAACAAGCCCGUGUCUGCGAUACGCAGAGACACAACGUCAAAACUUUUCGUUUUCGUGUUUGUUGAAGGCGUGUCUCUUUCCAGACGGUCCCUGGGCGGUGGGCGCUCCCCGAGUGCGCUGGUGCUGAUGCAGACAGACAGAAGCAUCCAACCGGACGUACACCACAGGACGUGUCUGAAAGAUGGCCAUCUGAUUGACAUUACGCACAACAAGGAAUGACAGCAUCAUAACAAACAUUACCUUCUGCUGCCUCUCUCUCUCAUUCUCUUAAUUUUGAUGAUAGGUAAUAGGAACACACACACACUUGCUGUGGUUAAACUGCAUGUUUAAUCCAUGGAUAUUUCAAAGAUUAAAAGUGUUAGAGUCAACGUGUUGCUGCUGACUUGAGGAUGAUGUAGCAUCUUAAAGUGAUUUUAUGGAGAUUAACUGACCGAUGUAAAGUGGCUCAGUCUAUGUGUGAGUUGGGAGAUGAUUUGUUAUUACUAUGGAAACCAGAAGUUUAAGGCAAACCAUUAUCUGUAAUAUCAACAAACAACCAGUGAGCUGGUUUGUGUGUUCCUGUUAAUGUGCUUGAGGGCAUUAUUCAUAAAGGUAAUCGAAACACAUCUGUUAAACUGAAUGGAAGUGGUUCUUCGAGCUGCCCUAAUGUUUGUUUAAAGGUUUAUAAAUGUUGGUUCAAAUUUCACCAUAGCCAGCACCAGUUUGCACAAUGCUUGAACAGUUUAAACCGGCGUACUUCAGAAAGAUAAUAUAGGGUCCUAUGAUUUUCAUAGUGCUGGAUAAGUGGAUGAAAUUGUGAAAUCCAGUCAUAACAACUGAAUGUACUAUAGGCCUAUAAUGCAGAAUGACACCGAUUUUG